GACGAACUUUGGCGGCGUGCUUAACACAUGCAAGUCGAACGGAAAGGCCCUGCUUUUGUGGGGUGCUCGAGUGGCGAACGGGUGAGUAACACGUGAGUAACCUGCCCUUGACUUUGGGAUAACUUCAGGAAACUGGGGCUAAUACCGGAUAGGAGCUCCUGCUGCAUGGUGGGGGUUGGAAAGUUUCGGCGGUUGGGGAUGGACUCGCGGCUUAUCAGCUUGUUGGUGGGGUAGUGGCUUACCAAGGCUUUGACGGGUAGCCGGCCUGAGAGGGUGACCGGCCACAUUGGGACUGAGAUACGGCCCAGACUCCUACGGGAGGCAGCAGUGGGGAAUAUUGCACAAUGGGCGGAAGCCUGAUGCAGCAACGCCGCGUGCGGGAUGACGGCCUUCGGGUUGUAAACCGCUUUCGCCUGUGACGAAGCGUGAGUGACGGUAAUGGGUAAAGAAGCACCGGCUAACUACGUGCCAGCAGCCGCGGUGAUACGUAGGGUGCGAGCGUUGUCCGGAUUUAUUGGGCGUAAAGGGCUCGUAGGUGGUUGAUCGCGUCGGAAGUGUAAUCUUGGGGCUUAACCCUGAGCGUGCUUUCGAUACGGGUUGACUUGAGGAAGGUAGGGGAGAAUGGAAUUCCUGGUGGAGCGGUGGAAUGCGCAGAUAUCAGGAGGAACACCAGUGGCGAAGGCGGUUCUCUGGGCCUUUCCUGACGCUGAGGAGCGAAAGCGUGGGGAGCGAACAGGCUUAGAUACCCUGGUAGUCCACGCUGUAAACGGUGGGUACUAGGUGUGGGGUCCAUUCCACGGGUUCCGUGCCGUAGCUAACGCUUUAAGUACCCCGCCUGGGGAGUACGGCCGCAAGGCUAAAACUCAAAGGAAUUGACGGGGCCCCGCACAAGCGGCGGAGCAUGCGGAUUAAUUCGAUGCAACGCGUAGAACCUUACCUGGGUUUGACAUGGAUCGGGAGUGCUCAGAGAUGGGUGUGCCUCUUUUGGGGUCGGUUCACAGGUGGUGCAUGGCUGUCGUCAGCUCGUGUCGUGAGAUGUUGGGUUAAGUCCCGCAACGAGCGCAACCCUUGUUCACUGUUGCCAGCACGUUAUGGUGGGGACUCAGUGGAGACCGCCGGGGUCAACUCGGAGGAAGGUGGGGGUGACGUCAAGUCAUCAUGCCCCUUAUGUCCAGGGCUUCACGCAUGCUACAAUGGCUGGUACAGAGAGUGGCGAGCCUGUGAGGGUGAGCGAAUCUCGGAAAGCCGGUCUCAGUUCGGAUUGGGGUCUGCAACUCGACCUCAUGAAGUCGGAGUCGCUAGUAAUCGCAGAUCAGCAACGCUGCGGUGAAUACGUUCCCGGGGCU
rnacentral:rRNA from 1 species